CUCACUCUUUACUCUCCACAAGGUGGCACUACUUGUUUGUGAAAGCUCUUUGAGUUGUCCAUUGCAUCAAGUUCACAAAGUCCUCACAAGGUCUACUUUUAUUGGCGGAAGGGCUUUAAAGCCUCUGCAGGCGUAACCAGCAGCUUAUGUGUGGAGGCGUGUGUUUACUGCAUCAGUAAAGAUGCAGGGGGAUCACGAUGAAUUAGCAUUGAUGCUCCAAUUAAAGUUGUUAAUGCCAUAGAAAUAUAAGCAGACACGUUUCAUUACCUCUGUGUGGACACACUGUGUUGAGCGGAAAUACAGAAGCGUCUCCUCUGGACAGGAAUGGGAUUCAUUUCCCUUCAGGAGAGAGUCACACCGAGGGAUCAGAGCGAGGACAUCUUUGCAUUAUCUUUGUCUGUAGGUGUCCCUUCGUUGUUACCAAACAAACACGUCAAC
ensembl:lncRNA